UGUGUGCGUGCGUGCGUGUGCUAUAUAGCGGGUCGGCGGGCCUAGCUCCUCACUGCACCAUGAGGUCCACACUCCUUCUCUUCGUCGUGAUCGUGAUGAUGAUGUGGGCGUUGGCCCUAGGCGAGGGCGAGGCGUACGUGCAGCCCGACAACACCGAAACCGGGACGUACCUGCAGCAGAUCCUCGACCGACUGGAGGCCAACAAGGACAACAUGACGGGCUAGGCCAUGACACCGCCACCUACUUCAACGACCUCUUCUUCUCCUUGCCCUGACCACUGACCAGUGAACAACGCUACCGACCGAGCGACUCUGCUCCUCAAUGGAAAUGCCAAAUUAAUAUUAAAUAUUUUUAAGAUGUA